rnacentral:tRNA from 1 species
GGGUAUAGCUCAGUGGUAGAGUGCAUGCUUGGCAUGUAUGAGGUUCUGGGUUCAAUCCCCAGUAUCACCA